CCUACGGGAGGCAGCAGUGAGGAAUAUUGGUCAAUGGGCGAGAGCCUGAACCAGCCAAGUCGCGUGAGGGAGUACUGCCCUAUGGGUUGUAAACCUCUUUUGUCGGGGAGCAAAAGCCGGACGUGUCCGGCUGUGAGAGUACCCGAAGAAAAAGCAUCGGCUAACUCCGUGCCAGCAGCCGCGGUAAUACGGAGGAUGCGAGCGUUAUCCGGAUUUAUUGGGUUUAAAGGGUGCGCAGGCGGAUGGUUAAGUCAGCGGGCAACUCGUGGGGCUCGACCCCAGCCAGCCGGUGAAACUGGGGAUCUAGAGUGUGCGAGAGGUAUGCGGAAGGCGUGGUGUAGCGGUGGAAUGCAUAGAGAUCACGCAGAA
rnacentral:rRNA from 1 species